UUCAUUUCAUUGUGAAAACCAUCUAGGGAUCAACCUAGAAAUAAAAGUUUGUUAAUUAUUUAUACACCUUGUGUGUUUUUAUAUCUUUCUUGCUUGAGGUAAUACUCUGGAGGCAGAUGAUAUUUAUCUUCAGAACAUCAAGAACAACAAUCAAAGAAAGAAUCAAAAGGCAACCACUGUACAGGUAUUAAUUCAGAACUUUUACAAUAUCAUAUAGUUGUUUAGCAUAAUAAAAACAUAAAACAAGUAUUAAUUGAUGCAGGAACAUGUGUCAUAAUAUUAUAUAGGAAUAGAUUGUGCUUUAAAUCCAGAAUAACUAGAAAGGCUUAAAUAUAUUAGAUCAAUUAGUCCAUUAUAAAAUAACAAAAGAAUGUAUAAAGAUAAAUAGGAUAAAAAUCCCGAGAAUCAGAUUACAUAUACAAGAUAUCAGAAACCUUUAGUAAAUUAAACAAAGGAAUCGAUAAGGGAAUAAGCAGAAACAAGUAAAAGGCAUCAGGUUAUAAAAUUAAAAGAAAAUAAUAAAAUAAAAGAGAAUAUAAAACAAUAUAAGUUAACACUCACAAGAAAAUAUAAAACAAGGAUGGAUUCAAACUAGUCUAAGUAGAAGAAGACUAAACAGAGAAAAUAUACUAUAUUUAGGAAAGUUUACCACAACAACCAAUAGCUAUAGCAGAAGCAUCUGGAAAGAUAGAUAAUAAACGAAGAACAAUUAUAUAAAUUAAUGAAAUCUAUAAAAAAAAAAGAAAUGUAGAAGUAGAAUAGCAUACAUCCAUAUAGAUAAUAUAUACAAAUAAUAAUUAAUCCAAUUGGUUUGUAUUCAUCCAAUUAUAAUUUAUAUAUAUAUAUAUAUAUAUAUAUAUAUAUAUAUAUAUAUAUAUAUAUAUAUAUAAUAGUAAUAAUAAUAAUAUUAAUUAUUAUUAUUAUUAUAAUUAGAAUAAUAUAAAUAAUCCAUAAAAAUAUUAAACCAAAGAUAAGCCUCUACAAAUAAAAGAUAUUAAAAAUUUACAUUCUCAAAUUAAUUAUUCAAGUAAUAGAAAACAAAACGUAAAAAGAAACUUCCAAUAGUUCAAAAGAACCUAAAAACCAAUAUAUAAAUUAUUUAACGUAUCACAAAAAGAAUUAGAUUAAUUGAGAUUAAAAAGUGAUAUAGAUUUAAAAAUAAGAAUUGAAAAAAAAAAUUAGAUAAACUAAAUAAGGCAUUAAUAAAUACAUUACAAAUCAAUAAAUUAAAAAUAUGCCCAAAGCAUAGAAACUAUUACAAUUUGAAGGGAGAGAGGAGAACUGGUACAAAAUGCUUUCUUUGAAAAUGGAAUUUAGAUGGAAUGAAUGAACAAACUAUUUUAGAUAUGAUUUGUCAAAUGACAAUGACAUCUAUUAUCCAUAAAACUAAAGGUUGUAGCGCUAAAUCUGCUGUUAUAAUCACUGUACAAGGAUUCAUUGGCCAAUUAAAAGGUUUGUGGGAUAAUCUCUGCACAAAACAAGAUAAAUUAGCAAUUAUCAAUAGUGUAAAAACUGAAACAAAUCAAGAAGAUCCAAUCUCGAGAAUAUCAUUAAGGCCUCAAUGCCUCAAAUUCAACCAAAUAUUCAAUCGACCUUGGCGGAAAUACUAAAAUCCCCUCCAACAAUAACUGAUACAUCUAAAAAUCCCCUUGCCAAAACCUCUAAUAAAUUUACUCCUCUUCAAUAUCAAAACAUCCCCCAUUGGACCAAAAGACUUUACCCUAGUCACUAAAUCACAGCAAGAACAAACCUUAGAAGAGUAUACCUAUAAGCCAGAAACUGCCCCAGUCAUUAUUUUAGAAAAAGCCUAGAUAUAUGAUUUUGCAAGAAUAACAGCCCAAAACUUAUUUCCCAAAGAUUUCCAUUAUCCUUCAAUAUACCUAGCAAAACUAGAAUAUUUUAUGAGUUUAUUUUAGUAGACACUGAUUCUGCUGAAAUAUCUCAUACUAAAAAUGUGCAAGGAAUUAUUCUUUUUUUUCAAAACUAAAAUUCUUAAAAGUAUUAUUUCCAUAAGAAUGGAGCCAACAACCCCAUGAUUCUAAAACCUUCUCAAGAACCUUUAAUCGACUUACAAUUAUUAUGAUUAUAUAGAAGUCUAGUCAAAAGCAUUGUAUGUCCAUCCAGGAACCCACUUGUGGUUUAUCUGGUUAAGAGAGGAAUCUCCCUAAAAUUUCCUAGAUGGUUUAUUAAAUGGUUCUCAGAAUUCGGCCCACUAUCAUCUAUCUUCCCAUCUUAGGUAGUAGAAGUUUAUUCUUAUUUUAGAGAAAAGACUUCAUUUGAUUCAGGAUAUUGAUAUCCUUUGUGGCUACUCUCAUUCUAUAACGUGAAUUGUAGCCUGGGAAUAUAUUAAAGAACCAGCUUAUGAAAAUGUACACAUAAGAUCUCUUUCAAGAAAGUUUAAACUCAAGUGGUGGAAUAAACUUAAUACCAACUUCAUUAGCAAGAAUAUUGAUCAAUGACAAGCCAAUUACAAACAAAAGAAGGAAGAAACAAGUCUAUCAUUAACCCAGGAAUCAUUAUUUCUGCUAAUACUCUCUGUUUUUCAGCUAGAAAUAAUGAUUCCUAAUUUAAUGCUAGACUUGUUUCUUCCUUCUUUUGUCAGUAAUUGGCUUGCCAUUGAAUAAUAUUUUUCUUGCUGAUGAAGCUGGUAUUAAAUUAAUUCCACCACUUGAGUUUACACUUUCUUGAGAGAGAUCUUAUGUCUACAUUUUCAUAAACUGGUUCUAUAAUAUAUUCCCAGGCUACAAUCCAAGUUAUAAACUGAGUAGUCACAAAGGAUACUAAUCUUUAGCCUGAAUCAAAUGAAGUCUUUUCUCUAAAAUAAGAAUAAACUUCUACAACCUGAGAUGGGAAGACUGACAGUAGUGGGCCAAAUUCUGAGAACCAUUUUAUAGACCAUAUGGGAGAUUUUAGAGAGAUUCUUCUCCUAAACCAGAUAUACCACAAGUGGGUUCCUAGAUGGACAUACAAUGCUUUUGACCAGGCUUCUAUAUAAUCAUAAUAAUUGUAUGUCUGGGAAUUAAAGGUUCUUGAGAAGGUUUUAUAAUCAUGGGGUUGUUGGCUCCAUUCUUCGGGAGAUAAUAAUUUUAAGACUUUUAGUUUUGCAAAAAGAAUAAUUCCUUGCUCAUUUUUAGUAUGAGAUAUUUCAGCAAAAUCAGUGUCUACUAAAAUAAACUCAUAAAAUAUUUUGGUUUUAGCUAGGUCUAUUGAAGGAUAAUGGAAAUCUGUAGGAAAUAAGUUUUGGGUUAUUAUUCUUGCAUAAUCAUAUAUCCAGGCUUUUUCUAAAAUAAUGAUUGGGAUAAUUUCUCGCUUGUAGGUAUACUCUUCUAAGGUUUGUUCUUCUUGUGAUUUAGUGACUAGGGUAAAGUCUUUUGAUCCAGUGAGGAUGUUUUGACAUUAAAGAGGAGUAAAUCAAUUAGAGGUUUUGAUAAGGGGAUUUUUAGAUAUACCUGCUAUUGUUGGAGGGGUUUUUAAUAUUUCCGCCAAGGUCAAUUGAACCUUUGGUUGAAUUUGAGGCGUCUUCUACCUUAAUGAUAUUGUCGAGAGUGCAUCUUCUUAUUUGUUUCAGAUUUUACACUAUUGAGAAUUGCUAAUUUAUCUUGUUUUGUCCAGAGAUUAUCCCACCAACCUUUUAAUUGGCCAGUGAAUCCUUGUACAAUGGCUAUAGCAGGAGAUUUGUCUCUACAAUCUUUAGUGUUACAGGAGAUUUGUCUCUACAAUCUUUAGUGUUAUGGACAGUAGCUGUCAUUGUCAUUUGACAAGUCAUAUCUAAAUUAGCUUGUUCACUCAUUCCAUCUAAAUUUCAUUCAGUUUUUUCAUUUCUAGAGAAAGUAUUUUGUACUAGUUCUCCUCUCUCUUCAAAUUGCACAUCAGGAGGUAUGAGACGAGGAUAAUAUUUUCUAAGCUUUGGGUAUGUUUUUAAUUUAUUAAUUUGUAAUGUAUUUAUUGACAACUUAUUUAGCUCAUCUAAUUUCUUUUUUAUUAUUCUAUUUUUAAAUUUAUAUCACUUUUUAAUCUUAAUGAAUCUAAUUCUUUCUCUAGUACGUUAAAUAAUUUAUAUAUUGGUUUUAUAGUUCUCUUGAAGUACUAGCAGUUUCUUUUUGCCUUUUAUUUUCUAUUCGGGUUAAUUGUUUUGACAUAUUAUUCAAUAUUGUAUUUGAAUAAUUAAUAUGGGAAUGUAAGUUUUUAAUAUCUUUUACUUGCAUAGGCUUCACUUUUAAUAUCUUUAUAUGGACUUGCUUCUAUUUCUAAAUCUUGUGUGGGUUGUAUUAUGAUUCUUUAUCGUGGAAGGUGUUCCAAUUCUAUUAUUUUUUUUAUUUACUGUUUUCCCAGGUAUUUGAUAUUUUAUCUAGCGAACAUAUAAAUUUAUUAAUUCUGAAAGGAUAUUCUAAGUUAUUGUUUCUACUAUAAUAUGAAAACCAAUCAACGUAUAAAUUUAUUUCAUUUUGUCUUAAGUAAUUAUAAAAUUCUUCUCUAAACUUUUACACAUGUUGUUUUGUAAAUGUUUUAAAAUAUCAAUCUCUUCUUUCUUUAUUAUAAUCAUCUUCAAAAUCUUGUCUAAUCCAAUUUUUAUCUAUUUUAAAAGUUUCUUCUCUACUUAAAGUGUUUAAUAUUUGUAAGGUUGUUGGAGAAUAACAAGGGGAUUCCAAUUUUCUUGAUUCUUCAUAUAGAGGUUUUGUUACAAUUGGUGUAAUGUUACUUAAUCCUCUUAAAUCUAAAUUUAUUGUGGAUCCAUCAACUCAAUGUCUAGAAGAUUGUUCUUUAUAUAUCAUUUGAGGAUUUCUUAUAUUUACAGACGAUGACCUAUUCAUUCUUAAUCUAAUAUUUGUUCCUUCAUGCAUUAUUUCUCUUAUUUGGGUAUUAUAAAGUUUUGGUUCUUCUAUUACAUUUCCUAAUAUCCAUUCUUCAAGGAUCUUGCUUAUUACUUAUUCAUGAUUUAAUUUCUUUGGAAUUUGUACAGAUGAUUUUCUAAGACUAGCUUCUACAAGUAUUGUUUCAUCUUUUGGUGAAGAUUUUAGGACUUUAUAAUUAUAAUCUAUUUUUGUAACUUUAAAAUAAAUUCUAUAGAUUACUUGUAUUACACCUGAUAGUUAAUCUAUAAUUGCAUAUGGAAUUUGUACAUAUAAUUUUAUUGCAUUACUUGUUUUAUCAUUUCUGAUAUUCAUAGAAAAACUAGGAUAUCAGUUAAAGAAAGCAGGAUCAUUAUGUAAAUUACUUUCUAAUAUUGCAAUUAUUGAGUCAUUAAACUUUUUAAGUCUUAUGUCUCUUAAUACCAUAAGUAUUGGGCUAUUUACUCAUAAUAUGUAGUUUAGCUUUGCAGCUACUUGAAUUAAUCCUAAGUGAAUAAAGUUAUAUCUAUCUUUAAUGUGUUGAUCUAAAAGUGAUUGUUCUAAUAUGCUAAUAAUUUUAUUGUUUUUAGUCCCUAGAUAAUUGUAUUCUACAAUAUGGACUUCGUCUUGAUUUCUAGGCUAAAACUUAUGUUGUUUAUAUACUUCAUAUUUUUUUACUAUUGGUAUUGACCAAUUAUGUAAAGAGUUUUCUAUUUCUACAAUUUGUAAUUAUUUAUCUUUAUUGUUCUUUGAAGAAGAAGAAACUUCUUUUUGGCUAGAUCUAACUACUAUUUGUUUAUCUUUGUUUCUUAAUCUUAAAUCACUUAAUGUUCUAAGUAUGUUUGGCAUCCUUAAUCUUUCCCUUGUGUCCAUGUUACGGGACCACCUCUUUCCACUAUCUAGCUUACCAACGGUCAUACCACCUCUCUCAAGCCUUACUGUCGACACCAGUAGAUCUAAAGGUUGACCAACGUAUUAACACUUCUCAGUGUUAUACGGAGACUUUUGAAAGGAUUAAGAAGUCCAAUGACCUCAAAACCUUAAGGAAAUUUGGAUUAAGAUUCAAAGUAAACUUUUAAUAGUUAAGUUAACCAACAAAAUGACCCAACUCUUUCAACUUGUUUUCUAAGUAUUUUAUGUUACUUUUAUACUAGACUAUAGUCCAAGCAUAUCUUGUAAGGUCUUCUAAUAAUAAUUUAUCUUUUUGUGAUAUGUGUUUUGUCAAG
rnacentral:lncRNA from 1 species